rnacentral:ncRNA from 1 species
AAGGCUCUGUUUUGACCGAAUCCUGACGCGGCGCGUCAGAGACUCAUUAGGUCAGACGGGGCCUU